rnacentral:rRNA from 1 species
UACAGAGGGUGCGAGCGUUAAUCGGAAUUACUGGGCGUAAAGCGUGCGUAGACGGUUAUUUAAGUCGGAUGUGAAAGCCCCGGGCUCAACCUGGGAAUUGCAUUCGAGACUGAAUAGCUAGGGUGCGGUAGAGGGAAGCGGAAUUUCCGGUGUAGCGGUGAAAUGCGCAGAUAUCAGGAGGAACACCGAUUGCGAAGGCAGCUCGCUGGGACGUUACUGACGCUGAGACGCGAAAGCGUGGGGAGCAAACAGG